CACGGCUUCUUGUACUAACCACGAUAAGGUGGUAACAGACUGAUAUUUAUGUGUAUUUUAAUUAAUUAUAUAAACAUCGCCAUUCCGCUCCGCUUUCUCUCAACUUUGCAGACUCGAGUGUAGGCCUAUUGUAUCUGCGACUAAACUAAAACAUGGACGAAGCGAAUCAAUCCCAACGACCUGUCAGUCACCCAAGACCAUUUUUCUAUGUCCAACCGCCCUCUCAACCCUAUUACAUGUACCAGUGGCAUGGCAACAACCCAUACAACCACUACAACUUACCAGGAUCAGUUUCACCAGGUUUGGCCUUUGGACGUACACCCUUCUCUCCCUACACUCAUAUGCAGUAUCCAGGAUAUGGUAUGCCUCAUGCUCCAAUGCAUCUCCUUGACUACAGAAAAAUGUGUGACCCUCACUUCAAUCCUGCUGCAUAUGACACUGUCCGUCGCCACCAUCACCAUGGUAAUGUGUCAAAGGAGACUACCUGCUCGGGGGCUCAGACAGACCCCAGUGAUGCUUUGAACAAACUGAUUGAGUGCCUGGAUAAACUCCGUGCAAGUGAGGCCUCCUCGGAACGGGAACUAGACUCUGGUGUCAUUUCUCAGGCGUCUGGAGUCUGUUCACCAAGAAAAGAGCCACAACAAGAGGAGCCAAAGGAGGGUAAUAAACAAGAGCCAACACACAUUCGGGUCCACCAAGCUUCUUCUGGGGCUUUGUUCAGUGACGUGAGCACAGCUGUGUGUGAACCAGAUGCAGUCAAAGACAGAGGGAGGGCUGGUCAGUGGAUUCCGAUGGCGAGCCACCUCUGGACACGUCAUCUGUUCAUGAGAAGAGUGUGCGUCUUGAUGAGGAGGAAGAAAAUGACGAUGAUGCACAUUUUCAUCAUUACCAUACUGAGCAAGACUUGACUCUGACCAUGCACAAGAUCAUCCAGUUUGCUGUGGAGAAACAAAAACUCUUUAUUUCGAGGGUUUCAUUCCCACCUUGACUCCAGCCAAGGGCCUGAAGAUGGCACGAGACAAGGCCCAGAAGACACCAGCAGGGCAGCCCCUCUGAGUGAACUGAAGACCGUAAGCGUCCGGCUGCCUUUUGGCAAGGUGCUUUCUGCUGGAGUCAUUCAGAAGGACGGUCCUGUUAAAUCUCCCCCUGUCUCUCCACUGUCAGCUGGAAAUCCCUUCUAUUACAGCUACCGUGCCCCCAGCUGGCCCAUGAGAGGUUCAGUGUUCUUAGCCCCUCUCUAGAUGAGCUUUCCUCCAGGGAUGAGAUGUUUUCCACUGACCUUGAGGACAUGGAUCUGUUUCCAGGUCAUGUGUACACUGGGGGAAGGCAGCCACAAAUGUCUGUGAUGGAAGCGCAAAAACCAACACUGACUGAGAGUGUCACUACGUGCCACAGGAAGCAUACAUGCGACACAUGUGGACUUAGGGUGCCUAAGAGGGUGAUUACAGCAGAGGCAUGCAUCUCUGGAGCGUAUUGCUGUGAUGACCAGGCUGACUCCGAUGAGGUGGCCAUAGCUGAAGGCUGCAAGUCCUGUUUGAGGAAUUGUACAAAGAAGCUCCCUACCUGUCGAACAACCAUAAAGUCCACAAGUGUUCAACACCAAGCAAAACCCAAAUCUAGGAGGCUGUAUUGCAGAGGGAAAAUGGAUCAGCAAGAACCGUCAGAGAGUCAAGCAUGGGACUUCCCUAGGCACAAGUGCUGUGAAGAAUUGGCUGCUAUGACCGAGAGGAGCCACAGGCAUGAACCCAAGGAGGAUCACCACAGACCAUGCAGGGAGAAACAGUGGAGAGAAGGUGAGAGCCUGCAUCAGGACUGUCGAGAGAUUGGCGGUGGAAAGGGUUUGGUUAAAGCCCCAAAAGUUCAACCUUUGCCACAGAGACAAGUGAAAAGGGUCCAAAGGAGAUGUCUGGCUAAGCCACAACUGAGCCAGAACUCAAAAAUCCCAAACCCUGAAGACAAUGAUGAUGAAGAGGAGGAGGAUGAGGGAGAGGAAAUGAAGAGGCUUUAGUUUCACAUGGGGAAUGGGACCACAAACCGGAGGAACAGGAUGUUAAGUCCACAUUAAUGCACAAAGAUUGGGUGGUAAUGGGUGAAUUUACACAGAGGUUCACAGUAGUCACUGAAAAAUGCACAGAAUAAUAAAUCAUAAUCUUUGAGUUUGAUGUGCCAUCACAGAAUUUAUGUAUAAUAAUUUGCACUGUACUAGAUAUUUCAUUUUGGUGUAAGGUCAUUAUGACUGGUUCCACAUUGUUGUUGUUUGAUUUAUUUGAUUGUUGUCUUCUUGCUCUUUGCACUCCCUGAAUUUAUCUGGCUGUAAUGCUCUGCAGUGAAAGAUGGCAUUAAAAUAUUUGCAAUUCUCACA